GCCCGUUUAGCUCAGUGGUAGAGCGCGCCACUCGUAUCAUACAGCCUUUCAACAGGCCAAUCACAGUUGAUUACGUAAUGGUGAGGUCACUCGUUCGAUCCGGGUAGUGGGCA